UGUGGAUUGUCCUUUGGACAAUGGUAGGAGAGCGUUCUAAGGGCGUUGAAGCAUGAUCGCAAGGACAUGUGGAGCGCUUAGAAGUGAGAAUGCCGGUGUGAGUAGCGAAAGACGGGUGAGAAUCCCGUCCACCGAUUGACUAAGGUUUCCAGAGGAAGGCUCGUCCGCUCUGGGUUAGUCGGGUCCUAAGCUGAGGCCGACAGGCGUAGGCGAUGGAUAACAGGUUGAUAUUCCUGUACCACCUAUAAUCGUUUUAAUCGAUGGGGGGACGCAGUAGGAUAGGCGAAGCGUACGAUUGGAUUGUACGUCUAAGCAGUGAGAUUGAGUGUUAGGCAAAUCCGGCACUCUUAAGAUUGAGCUGUGAUGGGGAGAGGAAAUUGUUUCCUCGAGUCGUUGAUUUCACACUGCCGAGAAAAGCCUCUAGAUAGAGAUUAGGUGCCCGUACCGCAAACCGACACAGGUAGUCAAGAUGAGAAUUCUAAGGUGAGCGAGCGAACUCUCGUUAAGGAACUCGGCAAAAUGACCCCGUAACUUCGGGAGAAGGGGUGCUCUUUAGGGUGCAAGCCCAGAAGAGCCGCAGUGAAUAGGCCCAAGCGACUGUUUAUCAAAAACACAGGUCUCUGCUAAACCGUAAGGUGAUGUAUAGGGGCUGACGCCUGCCCGGUGCUGGAAGGUUAAGAGGAGUGGUUAGCUUCUGCGAAGCUACGAAUCGAAGC
rnacentral:rRNA from 1 species